UACGUAGGGGCCCAGCGUUGUCCGGAUUCAUUGGGCGUAAAGCGCGCGCAGGCGGCCCGGUGUGCCGCCCGUGAAAUCCCCCGGCUCAACCGGGGGGGGUCGGGCGGGACUGCCGGGCUGGAGGCGGGUAGGGGAGAGUGGAAUUCCGGGUGUAGUGGUGAAAUGCGUAGAGAUCCGGAGGAACCCCAGAGGCGAAGGCGGCGUCCUGGCUCACAACUGACGCUCAUACACGACAGCAUGGGGAGCGAACGGG
rnacentral:rRNA from 1 species